UAGAAGUCUAAAACCAGCAACCUCAGCCUCUUCAACUAGAAUAUGUUAGUGGUAUUGCAGUAGCUAAAACGGGUGAUCAUCACCGCCGCAUAGCCACCGCUCUCCACCACCCUCCUCCGCCUGAAGAAUUACAAGAGCCCUUCUCAUCUCAAGACAGGUGAAAAACAGAAAUUCUUGGAAAAGAAAGCCAUGAGUCGAAGGAACGGACCGAAACUUGACCUCAAGUUGAAUUUGUCACCACCAAGGGUGAACUGGGCACGAGUCGAAUCUCCCGGUCGAUCAUCGACAUCUCCACCGAGUUCCUGCGUGUCGUCUGAGCUGAUCAAUCCGGAAGAGUCCCUCUUUUACUCGAACAGCCCAGAGGCGACAUCCAUGGUGCUGGUAGGGUGUCCUCGUUGUCUUAUGUAUGUCAUGCUAGCAGAAGAGGACCCCAAAUGCCCCAAAUGCAAAAGCACCGUUUUGCUUGAUAUUAUCCAUCAGAAGAACGCUACCUCCUCCAAGAAAACAAAGAAGAGUUAGCCAUAGGCGUUCUUCGGAUUUCAGCCAGUCCCCCUACCCAUCCACCCCACCAUCUCCCUUCUUUUUGUAAUGCAAGUAGCACUAUUGGGGCUCCAUUUCCAGUAUAAUUAAUGAGAAUGAAAGAGUGGAACUUGAAUAGUGCUAUCUACAUUUUCUUUUAUGUUGUUUAUCUCAGUUUCUGAACAUAGGAAGUGACAUCCAUCUUUAGCAGAAAACUAAGUAAAUGGACAGACUACAACUGCCCAAAGUCUCUUAUCAGUAACAUUUUUCAGCGUCCUUUUGCAUUAAACUGUUUGCAUCCAAUCAAAGCAUGCCAGAACAGCAAAUUAACAGCUACUUAGCUAAACUCUGUAUUAUGUUACAAUUAAGAAAUGGAAUAUAGGGGUUUUCCUGCU